rnacentral:rRNA from 1 species
GACGAACGCUGGCGGCGUGCUUAACACAUGCAAGUCGAACGGAAAGGCCCUGCUUUUGUGGGGUGCUCGAGUGGCGAACGGGUGAGUAACACGUGAGUAACCUGCCCUUGACUUUGGGAUAACUUCAGGAAACUGGGGCUAAUACCGGAUAGGAGCCCCUGCUGCAUGGAGGGGGUUGGAAAGUUUCGGCGGUUGGGGAUGGACUCGCGGCUUAUCAGCUUGUUGGUGGGGUAGUGGCUUACCAAGGCUUUGACGGGUAGCCGGCCUGAGAGGGUGACCGGCCACAUUGGGACUGAGAUACGGCCCAGACUCCUACGGGAGGCAGCAGUGGGGAAUAUUGCACAAUGGGCGGAAGCCUGAUGCAGCAACGCCGCGUGCGGGAUGACGGCCUUCGGGUUGUAAACCGCUUUCGCCUGUGACGAAGCGUGAGUGACGGUAAUGGGUAAAGAAGCACCGGCUAACUACGUG